rnacentral:rRNA from 1 species
UACGUAGGGUGCAAGCGUUAAUCGGAAUUACUGGGCGUAAAGCGUGCGCAGGCGGUUGGGUAAGACAGGUGUGAAAUCCCCGGGCUUAACCUGGGAACUGCACUUGUGACUGUCCGACUGGAGUAUGUCAGAGGGGGGUGGAAUUCCAAGUGUAGCAGUGAAAUGCGUAGAUAUUUGGAAGAACACCGAUGGCGAAGGCAGCCCCCUGGGGCAAAACUGACGCUCAUGCACGAAAGCGUGGGGAGCAAACAGG